GGUCAGUGAUGAUUGGUAAAAGGUCUGAUUGCACUUAAUGUCACAGCCCCUUCCUUGCCCUCAGCUCCCAGCAGCCCAUUGUUUUCUCCCGUCACAUUUAAGUCAUGUGUAUGGGAUAAUGGAGCAGCUGACAGUUUGGGAUGAUUCUGUCAGCGUGUGUUUCUGAGAGUAUACAGUUCACAGCUGACAAAUAUCCAACAGAACCAGCUGUGCAGGAGAUCGAAGAGCGGCAGCCAUGGGUGUGAUGGUGCAUGAUCUCAAGUUUUCAAUCUGAGACC
ensembl:scaRNA